AUGUCAUCUGCGCCUCCCUCCUGGACCAGCCAGUCGGCGGCUCGAUCGACACGAACGCUGAUUGCGUGUGCACGCGAGGGACACAGCUCAACUACUUCAUGGCCUACACGACCUCCUUCAUGGGGCUCAUCAAUGGGCGGCAGUGACAGGAGCUGGAGGUUCCGGCGAGGCGGUGGCGCUGGCAAAGGUGAGGCGUCGAACGCGCGUGCCCGGGUGCUGGCUUGGCUGCAGGAGGCCACGGGCCUCGCCACGCUCUUCAACAUGGUGACAUGGGGGUGGCUGGACGCCGAUGUGCCAGAGGACUUCAUGAACCGGGCAAGCAUCAAGAUGGUGCUGACCGUGCGGACCAAUGUCUCGUGGGAGGCCUACGCGGCGGUGAUGGUCACCGCGUCGCAGGUGGAAGCGCUACUGCGGCGAGAGGGCAUGCGCAUGCUGCUGUACGAGGGUGUCUGGGACCUGUGGGACGGGAAGGCAUGGCUGGAGGAGGUAGACUGGGACUGGAUGACGACGCUGAGGGAAGCAGAGCGGGCCCUGUGGCGCAGCAUCGCUACCCACUGGCGCUUCGUCCACGGCCAUCCUCCUAAGCUUAGCGCUGCCGAUUGUGGCCUGGCUACUCGAUGCUUGACCUGUCAGCUGCAUCUUGGUACAUGGAGCUGGAGCAUAGGAACCAUCUCUGCCGUCCACCCCUCCUCGCUUCUCCGGCAAGCUUACCGGGCCGGCGGCCACCGUCCCUAG
rnacentral:rRNA from 1 species